rnacentral:rRNA from 1 species
GACGAACGCUGGCGGCGUGCCUAAUACAUGCAAGUUGAGCGAUGAAGAUUGGUGCUUGCACCAAUUUGAAGAGCAGCGAACGGGUGAGUAACGCGUGGGGAAUCUGCCUUUGAGCGGGGGACAACAUUUGGAAACGAAUGCUAAUACCGCAUAACAACUUUAAACAUAAGUUUUAAGUUUGAAAGAUGCAAUUGCAUCACUCAAAGAUGAUCCCGCGUUGUAUUAGCUAGUUGGUGAGGUAAAGGCUCACCAAGGCGAUGAUACAUAGCCGACCUGAGAGGGUGAUCGGCCACAUUGGGACUGAGACACGGCCCAAACUCCUACGGGAGGCAGCAGUAGGGAAUCUUCGGCAAGAGACGAAAGUCUGACCGAGCAACGCCGCGUGAGUGAAGAAGGUUUUCGGAUCGUAAAACUCUGUUGGUAGAGAAGAACGUUGGUGAGAGUGGAAAGCUCAUCAAGUGACGGUAACUACCCAGAAAGGGACGGCUAACUACGUG